rnacentral:rRNA from 1 species
UACGGGGGAGCAAGCGUUGUUCGGAUUUACUGGGCGUAAAGGGCGCGUAGGCGGCGUGACAAGUCACUUGUGAAAUCUCCGGGCUUAACUCGGAACGGUCAAGUGAUACUGUCGGACUAGAGUACAGAAGGGGCAACUGGAAUUCUCGGUGUAGCGGUGAAAUGCGUAGAUAUCGAGAGGAACACCUGCGGCGAAGGCGGGUUGCUGGGCUGAUACUGACGCUGAGGCGCGAAAGCCAGGGAGGCGAACGGG